rnacentral:rRNA from 1 species
UACGUAGGGUGCGAGCGUUGUCCGGAAUUAUUGGGCGUAAAGGGCUCGUAGGUGGUUUGUCGCGUUGUUCGUGAAAACUCACAGCUCAACUGUGGGCGUGCGGGCGAUACGGGCAGACUGGAGUACUGCAGGGGAGACUGGAAUUCCUGGUGUAGCGGUGGAAUGCGCAGAUAUCAGGAGGAACACCGGUGGCGAAGGCGGGUCUCUGGGCAGUAACUGACGCUGAGGAGCGAAAGCGUGGGGAGCGAACAGG